rnacentral:tRNA from 1 species
GGAUGUAGCUCAGUGGUAAAGUGCAUGCUUAGCAAUGCUUAAGGCCCUGGGAUCAAUCCCCAGCACCA